GGCCCUCCUAGGCCAGUGGUUUUGCGGUCACCUCUGUCCAUCUGCUCAGGACUCCCUGUCCUAAACCUGGUGGUGUCACAGGGUCCCUGCUCCAUAGUGACUCUGUGGGGACUGUGACUUGCUUUCUGAUUUUCCAAGAUCAACUGAUUUUCCACCUUGUUUUCUCCUUUCUGGGCUUUAUAGCUUCUUAAAAGUCCUAGCUCCAGGGGUUGGUUAGCCACAUUCCUUUACAGGCUGGCCAGUGUUGGGAGUGGGGGAACGGAACUGAUGUAUAAAGUCAGCCCCAGUUGCAACUUUGGAGUGGGAUCAUUUUCUCUUAUUUACCUUGCAGAACCAAACUGUAAUCCGCAGCAGGCCUCCAGAAGGGCAUCCCUCAGGCCUCGGGCUCCUGCAGGCUUUUCUCCUGAUUCCGGUUCAUGAAGAGAAUGACACAGGUCAGCCUGAGGUUGGCCUCCUGCAAGAAAGAACCUGGAGGCUUCCCUCUCAUGAAAUGCUUCAUGAUAUCUGCAUGAAGAUGCUUUGACAUCCAGAGCAUGUGUCUCAGCAGAGAAAGAGUGUAUACAUGUAGAGACUCACGCAUGCAUGGAACUUCUAAAAAGUUUUUGAGACUUGAUUAUAUAAUACAGGAUGAAAUGAACAGCUACAUUGAAGAAAAAGAGACACUAAGGAGCCGUGCCGAAAGCAACUUUCCUCUGCUUGUCCUUCCAGAAUGCCAUUUGUGCCUUGGAGCUGGUUGACUGUGGACCGAACUAUAAGAAGUCUCCUUCCAUCAGUAUUUUCUGGAAGAAAUGUCAAAGGAUCCUAGUCGAAGAGGAAUGUGAAGACAGGCCCUCGGUAACAGGCGAAGCUCCACAGCCUCCUGGUCCGCUGGAUGUGGCAGCCCAUGCUGGGAGGAGACCUUGAUGUUGCUAUCA